rnacentral:rRNA from 1 species
AACGAACGCUGGCGGCAGGCUUAACACAUGCAAGUCGAGCGAGACCUUCGGGUCUAGCGGCGGACGGGUGAGUAACGCGUGGGAACGUGCCCUUCUCUACGGAAUAGCCCCGGGAAACUGGGAGUAAUACCGUAUACGCCCUUUGGGGGAAAGAUUUAUCGGAGAAGGAUCGGCCCGCGUUGGAUUAGGUAGUUGGUGGGGUAAUGGCCCACCAAGCCGACGAUCCAUAGCUGGUUUGAGAGGAUGAUCAGCCACACUGGGACUGAGACACGGCCCAGACUCCGAGGGGGGGCAGAGUGGGGAAUCUUAGACAAUGGGGGCAACCCUGAUCUAGCCAUGCCGCGUGAGUGAUGAAGGCCUUAGGGUUGUAAAGCUCUUUCAGCUGGGAAGAUAAUGACGGUACCAGCAGAAGAAGCCCCGGCUAACUCCGUG